UGUGUGUUAGUGGAAGCGUCUGGAAAGGCGCGCGAUACAGGGUGACAGCCCCGUACACAAAAAUGCACAUACUGUGAGCUCGAUGAGUAGGGCGGGACACGUGGUAUCCUGUCUGAAUAUGGGGGGACCAUCCUCCAAGGCUAAAUACUCCUGACUGACCGAUAGUGAACCAGUACCGUGAGGGAAAGGCGAAAAGAACCCCGGCGAGGGGAGUGAAAAAGAACCUGAAACCGUGUACGUACAAGCAGUGGGAGCCUCUUUAUGGGGUGACUGCGUACCUUUUGUAUAAUGGGUCAGCGACUUAUAUUCUGUAGCAAGGUUAACCGAAUAGGGGAGCCGAAGGGAAACCGAGUCUUAACUGGGCGUUAAGUUGCAGGGUAUAGACCCGAAACCCGGUGAUCUAGCCAUGGGCAGGUUGAAGGUUGGGUAACACUAACUGGAGGACCGAACCGACUAAUGUUGAAAAAUUAGCGGAUGACUUGUGGCUGGGGGUGAAAGGCCAAUCAAACCGGGAGAUAGCUGGUUCUCCCCGAAAGCUAUUUAGGUAGCGCCUCGUGAAUUCAUCUCCGGGGGUAGAGCACUGUUUCGGCAAGGGGGUCAUCCCGACUUACCAACCCGAUGCAAACUGCGAAUACCGGAGAAUGUUAUCACGGGAGACACACGGCGGGUGCUAACGUCCGUCGUGAAGAGGGAAACAACCCAGACCGCCAGCUAAGGUCCCAAAGUCAUGGUUAAGUGGGAAACGAUGUGGGAAGGCCCAGACAGCCAGGAUGUUGGCUUAGAAGCAGCCAUCAUUUAAAGAAAGCGUAAUAGCUCACUGGUCGAGUCGGCCUGCGCGGAAGAUGUAACGGGGCUAAACCAUG
rnacentral:rRNA from 1 species